CCAAAAGGCAGCGGAGGUUAAACAUUCACAAGAAAGACCUCAACGAAAUUUACAUAACCUUCACCAAAAUAAGGUUGAAGGUAUUCUGCUACUCUAAGCACACAAAGCGUGAAAAUAAAACAAAACUACAAUAACCCUCAGUCAGGUACAGCAAAACCAACUACCACAACAACCAACAAUAACUCGAAAAUAACUUCUAACCUAACAAGAUACGCGCGAUAAAUGCACGAAACCCUAUAAAACCAGGCACACCACGCCCCUCCUCCCUCAGUCAGGAUCAGUAUACACAGACCCAACCAACAAGUGCAAACCUAGCAAUCAAAAAAGAAAAAUCCUAGGUCACCAUGGAAGCAGGAGUUAGCCUCACAGCAGCAACAAAAGUUGGUACUGCACGAAGCUUCGUAAUGUUAGAACCACGGCGUUGUGAUGAACAUCGACCACAGAGUCGUGUACAGCCACAACAAAACAAUUCAAGUGAGACUCAGAGGUCUCUGAAGGGUAUCGCACGAAGUCUCGUAACAUCCCUUCAGAACCUUCGACACACAUACACGAAGGUUCUCCUCGACAACACUCCAC
rnacentral:lncRNA from 1 species